rnacentral:rRNA from 1 species
CAGCAGCAGCCAGGUAAUACGUAGGUGGCAAGCGUUGUCCGGAUUUAUUGGGCGUAAAGCGAGCGCAGGCGGUCAAUUAAGUCUGAUGUGAAAGCCCCCGGCUCAACCGGGGAGGGUCAUUGGAAACUGGUUGACUUGAGUGCAGAAGAGGAGAGUGGAAUUCCAUGUGUAGCGGUGAAAUGCGUAGAUAUAUGGAGGAACACCAGUGGCGAAGGCGACUCUCUGGUCUGUAACUGACGCUGAGGCUCGAAAGCGUGGGUAGCAAACAGGAUUAGAUACCCGUGUAGUCCCUGUCUCUUAUACA